UUCUACAAAUCUGAAAAAAAGAGAGAAAGAGAUUAGGUUUUAAUUGGAUUUAGGGGUUCUAAAGAAAGGGAGAAGAUGAAUUCCUUAGUUGCACCUCCUCCAUGAACCGCUGUUGGGCUUGGAAACGACAUUGUGAAGACGUCGGAGCCGCCGCAUGAGCCUGCUCAUGACAGACCCCGGAACCCGUUACGGAGAUGAGCGGCGGCUGUACCCCUGAGUUGAAAACCCAUGGAUUCACAUCUGUGUGUUUAAAGAAAACGCAAGAACAAGAAAGAAAAGAAAAAUGAUACAAUUUCAAAGUGGAUGAGAAUGAAGAAUGUGGCAAUCCUUCAUCCAUGGAUGUUCAUAACAAGAGUAUUUAGUGCUAGUACUAUGUCCCAAAAAGGGAUCUCCAUGUAUCAUGUAUUAUGGUUUACAUAAAAAUAAGAUGAUGCUUAUGAGUAUAGUUCUUGAUUAUAUGAAUAAAUAGUGAAGGAAAAGGAGUUAUUUUAUUUUGCUUUGAGAGAUUUUAAGUAUAAAAAAAAGUCAUAUUGAUAUUGUUUGGUUUCAUAUAAUUAUACAUAUAUAUGCUUCAUAUAAAGAAGGUAAGACACACAAAAUACUUUCAUUCAUACUUUUGUUAUCAACAUAGUAGCCAUAAAUCAAUGAUGAUAUCAAGCUAUUUGAGUAUAAUAGACUUAUAAACACUGACCUUUUAAGCUUCUUACUAUUGUUCCUCUCAGCACUCCUUUAUGAUGCUUUCUCCAAUGCCUUUUUCCUUGUGGAAAAUGCUUUACCUUUUGGCUGGCCGGGUAUCCAAAACCGAAAAGAAAGAAACUGUGCUUCUUUCUUUUUAUUCAAUGUAUCCUUUUGUUCUUGUGUGUUAAUGUAUUGAAAACAAAGGAAUAGAGUUUUUUUGGAUUCUUUCCUUUUGUGUAUUUCUGUUGCCUUUUUAUGGGAAUAGACUUGCUAUCCUCUAUCCCAUAGAAGUAGGGAUAACCACCCCAAUAGCCUAAAAUCUGGCCUCAUCAACUCAGCUUUUUUCUCCUAAAAAAGUGGGAUC